AGGUAUUGAGCGUGCAUCAAGGUCUUGCGACUGAUGCGUCUGGAGGGAGCUACGUGGAACGUUGUGUAUUGUUUAGUAUAAUUUGCCCUGAAGGAGAGGACAAUGAUAAAGGCCAGAUCCCACCAAAGCUGGGGCCUUGAGGGUGUCCAGGUAUCUCCCAGGUACUGCUUGUUGAGAUCGAGAAUUAGAUUCUACACAAGCUAAAUCUCAACUCUGGUCCAGGAGGUACCACUAGAUGACGCAAAGCCCCUUC